rnacentral:rRNA from 1 species
UACGUAGGGGGCCAGCGUUGUCCGGAUUCAUUGGGCGUAAAGGGCGCGUAGGCGGCCACUGCAAGUCAGUUGUGAAAUCUCCGGGCUUAACCCGGAAAGGUCAACUGAUACUGGCGGGCUGGAGGGAGGUAGGGGCGACUGGAACUUCCGGUGGAGCGGUGAAAUGCGUAGAUAUCGGAAGGAACGCCGGUGGCGAAAGCGAGUCGCUGGACCUCUUCUGACGCUGAGGCGCGAAAGCCAGGGGAGCAAACGGG